rnacentral:rRNA from 1 species
UGGGGAAUAUUGCACAACGGAGGGAACUCUGAUGCAGCGACGCCGCGUGAACGAAGAAGGCUUUCGAGUCGUAAAGUUCUUUUAUAUGGGAAGAUAAUGACGGUACCAUAAGAAAAAGCCCCGGCUAACUACGUGCCAGCAGUCGCGGUAAUACGUAGGGGGCUAGCGUUGUCCGGAAUCACUGGGCGUAAAGGGUUCGCAGGCGGAAAUGCAAGUCAGGUGUAAAAGGCAGUAGCUUAACUACUGUAAGCAUUUGAAACUGCAUAUCUUGAGAAGAGUAGAGGUAAGAGGAAUUUUUAGUGUAGCGGUGAAAUGCGUAGAUAUUAAAAAGAAUACCGGUGGCGAAGGCGACUUACUGGGCUCAUUCUGACGCUGAGGAACGAAAGCGUGGGUAGCAAACAGG